rnacentral:rRNA from 1 species
AUUGAACGCUGGCGGCAUGCCUUACACAUGCAAGUCGAACGGCAGCACGGGGGCAACCCUGGUGGCGAGUGGCGGACGGGUGAGUAAUGCAUCGGAACGUGCCCUGAAGUGGGGGAUAACGCAGCGAAAGCUACGCUAAUACCGCAUAUUCUGUGAGCAGGAAAGCAGGGGAUCGCAAGACCUUGCGCUUUGGGAGCGGCCGAUGUCGGAUUAGCUAGUUGGUGGGUAAAGGCCUACCAAGGCGACGAUCCGUAGCGGGUCUGAGAGGAUGAUCCGCCACACUGGGACUGAGACACGGCCCAGACUCCUACGGGAGGCAGCAGUGGGGAAUUUUGGACAAUGGGCGAAAGCCUGAUCCAGCCAUGCCGCGUGAGUGAAGAAGGCCUC